GCCAGGAUGGUCGCGAUCUCCUGACCUCAUGAUCCGCCCGCCUCGGCCUCCCAAAGUGCUGGGAUUACAGGCGUGAGCCACCACACUUGGCCAUAAUAUGUCUUUUUUAAAAUUACAAUUAAUACUUACUGUUAUUUAAUUUGAUGCCAAGUUUUUGUUUUAUUUUGUUGUUUUUUUGAGACAGGGUCUCACUAUGUCACCCAGGAUGGAGUGCAGUGGCCAUGAUCUUGGCUCACUGGAACCUCUGCCUCCAGUGUUCAAGUGAUUCUUAUGCCUCAGUCACCU
rnacentral:lncRNA from 10 species